UAGUCUGCAGCUACAUCCUGUUGUGACUGUACAUUUAUCCUUUUUGCAAAAAAGCUCCUACUUAAAUGAAGAAUUUGAAUUUCGACCACAGUACCCUAGCAGAUAUUGGUAUCUUCCUGUGGUUUCAAACUGUACAUUAACAGUUCUGCGGAAGUGAAACUAAAAGUGUUGUCUCAUUUUUUUUUUUUACAGCAGCUCUCCUUCAAUCUACAUCAGAGAAUAGCGAUGGCAGCAGCAGCCAUUUCAAGAAGCAGAGUAGUGGCUGGUGGCCUGUGUUUCCUCUUCACUCUUCUGUGUCUGCUUUGCCUCGCAACUUCACACACAGACAACAACAAACUGGAAACUAUCAAGGAAAACAUUAGGAUAAUUCAACAAAGGCUGGACAAAUUAAAGGUACAAAAGGCCACCAUUUCAGGGAUCUGGCAUGGAUAUAUAAGAUUUGUCGAUCCAAUGAUGGCACAUCUGAAGGAAGCUUCAGAAGGAUCCCCUGAUGACUCUUUUAUAGAGGAAUAUAUAGAGAAAGUCAAGGGCUUGAUGGAGAAAACUACAAUUUUUGUAGAUGGGCAGAAUGAGAAGAUGGAUGCAGAGAUAAAGAAAACCGAACAGGAAGUGGAGACAAUGAAGAAAAUGAUCAAAGCCUUUGAGGAGUAUCGAGUUGAAUUGUAACUUUGAUGUCAAUCAGUGCCUCUAUCUCGGAUAUUUGAAACUAUUGCAUCUGUUAAGUGUCUCUUUCUCAUUGCGCAGCUUCAUUUUAAUGUUUACAUGCACUGGCUCUGAAAUUAUGGCUUCAUUUUAAUUGUUUGAGAUAAAAUAGGAUAAAACUAUUUGUUUUCACAUUUUUCUUGCAAAGAUAGAAAUGGUACUACAAAGUAGAAUGUUCAAUCUACAUUCAUUCGGCUAUUUUUUAACAUAUACAAUGGAUAUUUGGAAAAUGUGCCAGACUUGCUAAAGGGCAGCUUCAGUAUUUUUCAAUGUGGCUCCCAUCUCCCAUUGACUUUGUGUCCAAGAGACUAGUUGGAACAACAGUUUUGGAAACUGGGCUAGCACUGAGCAAUAGCGCUACAGUUGGCGGCGGCAAAACACGGUGCAAUAAAGUGCUUGUUUUUGCCACUGACAGGCUUACAUUAUUAGAAAUAUCUGACAAUAUGAUGGACAGGAUCGCUACAGAGAUAGACCUUUUUGUCAAACAAUAAGAUCUUUUUUGUUUGAUCAAAAACAGCCCCAACAUAGCUAUUCCCAAAUUCCAUUAAAUAAGCAGUCCUUUUAGCGUGUAUAGAGCGAGCAUAUUUUCACAUUUAGUUUUGGUGAAUUAAGUGUUUAUUUAAAAAAGUCCACAGUUGACAAUGGUUGGAGCAGUAGAAGGAAGAAUAUAAACAUUUUUUGUUAGUAAUAUUUUGUUUCUGUCGCCAUUGAACAAAAUGUGUUUUACAAAGCUGAAAUGUUGUAAGCUAAAAUGUAAUGUUUAUUUAUUUGGAGUCUGGUCUAUCUGUAGAGAUGAGAGACACAGAGUAACACUAUAAGUCUGUCCGUGGCAAAAACAAGCCCUUUUAAAGGCCGUAAACUGAGGAUGUGUAAUUAUUGCACGGAUUUCAAAAAACCUUCUGCACAAAAAAACAUGGGAAAAUAGGGUCCAGGUUGAAAAAUACCAAAGUCACACUUUAUGAAAUCACAAAAUUCAGUUAUUGCAUGUGUAAUUCAUAUUAUGUGGUCAACACAAAUAAACUCAAUA